UGGCGGCAGGCUUAACACAUGCAAAGUCGAACGCCCCGCAAAGGGGAGUGGCAGACGGGUGAGUAACGCGUGGGAACAUACCCUUUCCUGCGGAAUAGCUCCGGGAAACUGGAAUUAAUACCGCAUACGCCCUACGGGGGAAAGAUUUAUCGGGGAAGGAUUGACCCGCGUUGGAUUAGCUAGUUGGUGGGGUAAAGGCCUACCAAGGCGACGAUCCAUAGCUGGUCUGAGAGGAUGAUCAGCCACAUUGGGACUGAGACACGGCCCAAACUCCUACGGGAGGCAGCAGUGGGGAAUAUUGGACAAUGGGCGCAAGCCUGAUCCAGCCAUGCCGCGUGAGUGAUGAAGGCCUUAGGGUUGUAAAGCUCUUUCACCGGAGAAGAU
rnacentral:rRNA from 1 species